rnacentral:rRNA from 1 species
CAAUAGCGUAUAUUAAAGUUGUUGCGGUUAAAAAGCUCGUAGUUGGAUUUCUGCCGAGGACGACCGGUCCGCCCUCUGGGUGAGUAUCUGGCUCGGCUUGGGCAUCUUCUUGGAGAACGUAGCUGCACUUGACUGGGUGGCGCGGUAUCCAGGACCUUUACUUUGAGGAAAUUAGAGUGUUUUAAGCAGGCACACGCCUUGUAUACAUUAGCAUGGAAUAAUAAGAUAGGACCCCGGUUCUAUUUUGUUGGUUUCUAGAGCUGAGGUAAUGAUUAAUAGGGAUAGUUGGGGGCAUCCGUAUUUAACUGUCAGAGGUGAAAUUCUUGGAUUUGUUAAAGACGAACUACUGCGAAAGCAUUUGCCAGGGAUGUUUUCAUUGAUCAAGAACGAAAGUUAGGGGAUCGAAGACGAUCAGAUACCAU